CGAAGGAUGCAAGCGUUAUCCGGAUUCAUUGGGUUUAAAGGGUGCGUAGGCGGACUGAUAAGUCAGUGGUGAAAUCUCUUUGCUUAACAAAGAAACUGCCAUUGAUACUGUCGGUCUAGAGUAUAGAUGACGUUGGCGGAAUAUGACAUGUAGUGGUGAAAUACUUAGAUAUGUCAUAGAACACCGAUUGCGAAGGCAGCUAACGAAACUAUAACUGACGCUGAGGCACGAAAGUGCGGGGACCAAACAGGAUUAGAUACCCUGGUAGUCCGCACCGUAAACGAUGAUUACUCGUUGUUGGCGAUAUGACAGUCAGCGACCAAGCGAAAGCGAUAAGUAAUCCACCUGGGGAGUACGCCGGCAACGGUG
rnacentral:rRNA from 1 species